AGUGAAUGCUGGCGGUAGGCCUAACACAUGCAAGUCGAACGGCAGCACAGUAAGAGCUUGCUCUUACGGGUGGCGAGUGGCGGACGGGUGAGGAAUACAUCGGAAUCUACUUUUUCGUGGGGGAUAACGUAGGGAAACUUACGCUAAUACCGCAUACGACCUACGGGUGAAAGCAGGGGAUCUUCGGACCUUGCGCGAUUGAAUGAGCCGAUGUCGGAUUAGCUAGUUGGCGGGGUAAAGGCCCACCAAGGCGACGAUCCGUAGCUGGUCUGAGAGGAUGAUCAGCCACACUGGAACUGAGACACGGUCCAGACUCCUACGGGAGGCAGCAGUGGGGAAUAUUGGACAAUGGGCGCAAGCCUGAUCCAGCCAUACCGCGUGGGUGAAGAAGGCCUUCGGGUUGUAAAGCCCUUUUGUUGGGAAAGAAAAGCAGCAGGCUAAUACCCCGCUGUUCUGACGGUACCCAAAGAAUAAGCACCGGCUAACUUCGUG
rnacentral:rRNA from 1 species